UACGUAUGGUGCAAGCGUUAUCCGGAUUUACUGGGCGUAAAGGGCGUGUAGGCGGGACUGCAAGUCAGAUGUGAAAACCACGGGCUCAACCUGUGGCCUGCAUUUGAAACUGUAGUUCUUGAGUACUGGAGAGGCAGACGGAAUUCCUAGUGUAGCGGUGAAAUGCGUAGAUAUUAGGAGGAACACCAGUGGCGAAGGCGGUCUGCUGGACAGCAACUGACGCUGAGGCGCGAAAGCGUGGGGAGCAAACAGG
rnacentral:rRNA from 1 species